rnacentral:rRNA from 1 species
GACGAACGCUGGCGGCGUGCUUAACACAUGCGAGUCGAACGGAAAGGCCCUGCUUUUGUGGGGUGCUCGAGUGGCGAACGGGUGAGUAACACGUGAGUAACCUGCCCUUGACUUUGGGAUAACUUCAGGAAACUGGGGCUAAUACCGGAUAGGAGCUCCUGCUGCAUGGUGGGGGUUGGAAAGUUUCGGCGGUUGGGGAUGGACUCGCGGCUUAUCAGCUUGUUGGUGGGGUAGUGGCUUACCAAGGCUUUGACGGGUAGCCGGCCUGAGAGGGUUACCGGCCACAUUGGGACUGAGAUACGGACCAGACUCCUACGGGAGGCAGCAGUGGGGAAUAUUGCACAAUGGGCGGAAGCCUGAUGCAGCAACGCCGCGUGCGGGAUGACGGCCUUCGGGUUGUAAACCGCUUUCGCCUGUGACGAAGCGUGAGUGACGGUAAUGGGUAAAGAAGCACCGGCUAACUACGUG